rnacentral:sRNA from 1 species
UAUCAUCAUAUUAUCCUACUGUCCUAU